AAAGAAACCAACAGGGAUUGCCUCAGUAACGGCGAGUGAAGCGGCAAGAGCUCAAAUUUGAAAGCUGGCCCCCUCGGGGUCCGCGUUGUAAUUUGCAGAGGAUGCUUCGGGUGCAGCCCCCGUCUAAGUGCCCUGGAACGGGCCGUCAUAGAGGGUGAGAAUCCCGUCUGGGACGGGGUGUCUGCGUCCGUGUGAAGCUCCUUCGACGAGUCGAGUUGUUUGGGAAUGCAGCUCUAAAUGGGUGGUAAAUUUCAUCUAAAGCUAAAUACUGGCCGGAGACCGAUAGCGCACAAGUAGAGUGAUCGAAAGAUGAAAAGCACUUUGAAAAGAGAGUUAAACAGCACGUGAAAUUGUUGAAAGGGAAGCGUUUGCGACCAGACUCGCCCGCGGGGUUCAGCCGGCAUUCGUGCCGGUGUACUUCCCCGUGGGCGGGCCAGCGUCGGUUUGGGCGGCCGGUCAAAGGCCCUCGGAAUGUAUCACCCCUCGGGGUGUCUUAUAGCCGAGGGUGCAAUGCGGCCUGCCUGGACCGAGGAACGCGCUUCGGCUCGGACGCUGGCGUAAUGGUCGUAAAUGAC
rnacentral:rRNA from 1 species